rnacentral:rRNA from 1 species
AAAAGAAACCAACAGGGAUUGCCCCAGUAACGGCGAGUGAAGCGGCAACAGCUCAAAUUUGAAAUCUGGCCCCCGGGUCCGAGUUGUAAUUUGCAGAGGAUGCUUCGGGCGAGGUGCCUUCCGAGUUCCCUGGAACGGGACGCCACAGAGGGUGAGAGCCCCGUCUGGUCGGACACCGAGCCCGUGUGAAGCUCCUUCGAAGAGUCGAGUAGUUUGGGAAUGCUGCUCAAAAUGGGAGGUAUAUGUCUUCUAAAGCUAAAUACUGGCCAGAGACCGAUAGCGCACAAGUAGAGUGAUCGAAAGAUGAAAAGCACUUUGAAAAGAGGGUUAAAAAGUACGUGAAAUUGUUGAAAGGGAAGCGCCCAUGACCAGACUUGGGCCCGGUGAAUCACCCGGCGUUCUCGCCGGUGCACUUUGCCGGGCACAGGCCAGCAUCAGUUUGGCGCGGGGGAGAAAGGCUCCGGGAAUGUGGCUCCCUCGGGAGUGUUAUAGCCCGCUGCGCAAUACCCUGCGCCGGACUGAGGUACGCGCAUCGCAAGGAUGCUGGCGUAAUGGUCAUCAGCGACCCGUCUUGAAACACGGACCAAGGAGUCGUCUUCGUAUGCGAGUGUUCGGGUGUCAAACCCCUACGCGGAAUGAAAGUGAACGCAGGUGAGAGCUUCGGCGCAUCAUCGACCGAUCCUGAUGUUCUCGGAUGGAUUUGAGUAGGAGCAUACGGGGCCGGACCCGAAAGAAGGUGAACUAUGCCUGUAUAGGGUGAAGCCAGAGGAAACUCUGGUGGAAGCUCGCAGCGGUUCUGACGUGCGAAUCGAUCGUCAAAUAUGGGCAUGGGGGCGAAAGACUAAUCGAACCUUCUAGUAGCUGGUUUC